UACGGAGGGUGCAAGCGUUAUCCGGAUUCACUGGGUUUAAAGGGUGCGUAGGUGGGUUUGUAAGUCAGUGGUGAAAUCUCCGUGCUUAACAUGGAAACUGCCAUUAAUACUAUAGAUCUUGAAUUUUCUGGAGGAUAGCGGAAUAUGUCAUGUAGCGGUGAAAUGCUUAGAUAUGACAUAGAACACCUAUUGCGAAGGCAGCUUACUACGCAUAUAUUGACGCUGAGGCACGAAAGCGUGGGGAUCAAACAGG
rnacentral:rRNA from 1 species